rnacentral:rRNA from 1 species
AUACGUAGGGAGCGAGCGUUGUCCGGAAUUACUGGGUGUAAAGGGAGCGUAGGCGGGAGUGCAAGUCAGAUGUGAAAUACAUGGGCUUAACCCAUGGGCUGCAUUUGAAACUGUGGUUCUUGAGUGAAGUAGAGGUAAGCGGAAUUCCUGGUGUAGCGGUGAAAUGCGUAGAUAUCAGGAGGAACACCGGUGGCGAAGGCGGCUUACUGGGCUUUUACUGACGCUGAGGCUCGAAAGCGUGGGGAGCAAACAGGAUUAGAUACCCUGGUAGUCCACGCUGUAAACGAUGAUUACUAGGUGUGGGGGGACUGACCCCUUCCGUGCCGCAGUUAACACAAUAAGUAAUCCACCUGGGGAGUACGGCCGCAAGGUUGAAACUCAAAUGAAUUGGCGGGG